CAUCAACGUCGCCACCGUCCCAGGUCCUCAGCACCGCCGCUUCUUCCUCCAUCAUCGCCGCCUAACCCAGGUCCUCCAUCGUCACCGCCUAAUCCAGUAACUCGGCAGGUCCUCUUCGGCUCUUCAUCUUCGCUGGCUUCUCGGCACGGACCCAGUCUGCUUCGGUCUUGGUUUCGACUGUGUCAAGUUUGGUUCUGAAGGUUGGUUCUUCAAUUCUUCUUUUGGUUCUGUCUUGUAUUUGCUGGAUGCUAAUGGUGGAAAUUUUACAAAUUUGCAAAUUUGUACGUAUGGUUCUGAUUGUAUGGUGGAAAUCUGUAUGUAUUAAAAUUUGUUUUACCAGUUGCUGAUGGUGUUUUACUAGUUGCUGAUAGUGUUUGACCAGUGGACUACUUGCUUGUUGGCAUGAGCUUGGUUGCUAUCUGAAUAUAAGUAUGAAGUUGUGUAACUAGUUCUUGAGAAGAGAAUUUUCCCAAGAUUUAAAGCAUUUGGCAA